rnacentral:lncRNA from 1 species
GGCUGGAGUCCGCUCGAGCCCUGCCUCUCCAGGGGCGGGGCCGCCUGUCCCGCCCAUAAAUGGGCGGAGCCGACAAAUCCACGCCCCUCCAAGGGUGGCAUACAUCGUUACUCCGCCCCACCCGGAGGCGGAGUCAGUCUUGCCCGGCGCCAGGCCACGCUCCGCCCGCCGCCCUCAGAUCGCGCCACGAUCCAGGGUCCCGGCCUCCCGCAGGGCAAAGGCAGCUGGCGGUGUAGACGCGGGUAGCCUCGCCAUGAAGUCCCGCAGGGAUAAGCUACACAUCCCGGCCCUGACCCUCGAUCUGUCCCCGAGCAGCCAGAGCCCAGCGCUGCUCAGCCCCAGCAGCCCCUGCAGCCCCUGCAGCCCUUCGCUGGGCCUGCACCUUUGGAGGUCCCCUGGGGCAAAAACAGGUCCAAAGCCUGGUGUGGUGGCGCACCUCUGUCAUCCCAGCACUCUGGGAGGCUGAGGCAGGAGGACUGCAGGGUGGAGCCCAGCCUAGGCAACUUAGUGACUUAGCCAGUUCCUGUCUCAAAAUAAAAUGUAAAAAGGUAGGGACGUUGCUCAGUGAGAAGGCCCUGGGUUCAAUUCCCAGUACUGAAAAAAUAAAAGCAGACCCCAAAUCUACUUCCUCCCAUCAUGAGCUUCCCACCGUCAGUGUCCCCAACACUGCCCAGCCCCUCGCUGGCCUCCUGACGAUCCGUCCUGUCCCGUCCCUGCCCCCCCCCCCCCCGCUGUCCGUGGUGGCUCCCCUGCAAUGACCCCAGCAGGCUCCCAUGGGCAGCCGGCUGCAUCUCCUCUGGACUCCACCUGAGACUCCACCUCUGUAGUCUGCUCCUCGUUUUUCAGUGCCCCUCCUGGCUGCCGUGUCCACUUCUCCAACAGGUCCCGGGCUGAGUCACCAUCUGCCUCUUCACACUCCGACGACAUCACCUUAUGUUGUUGUGGCUGCCUCUUCUCUGUCCCCCAGCCCAGGCCGCCCCUUUGAGGACAGA